UACAGAGGUCCCAAGCGUUGUUCGGAUUCACUGGGCGUAAAGGGUGCGUAGGUGGUGAGGUAAGUCGGAUGUGAAAUCUCCGAGCUCAACUCGGAAAUGGCAUUGGAAACUACCUUGCUAGAGGGUUGGAGGGGGGACUGGAAUACUUGGUGUAGCGGUGAAAUGCGUAGAUAUCGGGAGGAACACCUGUGGCGAAAGCGGCGCACUGGACCAUAACUGACGCUGAUGCGCGAAAGCUAGGGGAGCAAACAGG
rnacentral:rRNA from 1 species